AUACGGAGGGUGCAAGCGUUAUCCGGCAUUAUUGGGUUUAAAGGGUCCGUAGGCGGCUAGAUAAGUCAGUGGUGAAAUUCUCUCGCUCAACGAGAGACCUGCCAUUGAUACUGUCUUGGCUAGAGUUACAGUGAGGUGAGUGGAAUGUGUAGUGUAGCGGUGAAAUGCAUAGAUAUUACACAGAACACCGAUUGCGAAGGCAGCUCACUAACUGUAUACUGACGCUGAUGGACGAAAGCGUGGGGAGCAAACAGGAUUAGAAACCCUGGUAGUCC
rnacentral:rRNA from 1 species